AAUAAGAAGCAAAAUAUUGCACUUAGUUUCGACCUAAGCCUUUGAUAAAUUUUAUCCUUAUU
rnacentral:tRNA from 1 species